ensembl:lncRNA
UUCCUCUCAUAUACCUAAAUCAUAAUUUAUUAAUUAAAAGCUAUUAUUAUUAUCUCAAACAGAAUUACUAACAUAUACAUAUAUUUGACAGGUAACAUUUUGAUUCAUGGACACUUGAAGCAGCCUGAGAAAUAAAUCCUAUGCCUUUAGUUUCUCCCCUCAUCCCUGACCUCUGUCUGCAUCCGCAGGUGGUGAUGGGAAGGAGAAGGUGUGUCCCUUAUGGCUUCACUUUUCUCCAUGAAGUAGAAGGUUCUCUAUCCCAUUCUCAUGGCUAUAGAUUGGUCAGGUCAGAUGUCUACAUGGACAUUAUUUUGAGCUUUGAAAUAAUCUUAUUUUAGGUAUUAUUUUGUUGCAACAUCUCAGUUUUAAGUGGAUUGAGAAGUAUGGCCUCUGUGUUUCCCUAGGUGUUCCUAUUUCAUUGUAAUUAGCUAAUGCUUUGAAUUACUAAACAGCUUUAGAAACAAAGUAAAUUCUCAUAGAAGCUCUAUAAAAAAUAGUUCCAUUUUACAUAAAUCGCAUAUACAGAGAUUGAAAAAGACCCCCAAACAAGGAGAUCUAGAAGAAACUGGCCAUUUAAUCUAGUUAAACAAUUAGUCAGUUCUGGCAAUCAGUUUUAAUCGUUUUUCAAGAAAUUGACUGCAGCUGCCAAUUGCUUUGGCCUUUUUAUAGCUGUAACAUGAUGAUAAGAUAAGGCUUUCUACCUGAUUAUCUGUAUGCUUUUCUCUAAAUUCUUUCCUUUUUUUGUCUGUAAAUUGAUUAUUUAAUGAGCAAAUAUUAUUUUACUUGGUUCUGACUAUUAAUUGUCAAUUUUUUACUAUUAAUCAAAGUUAGAAGGAGGAAAAUUAUUCUUUGACUGGUUAGUGAUUUAACGUUAUAAGAAGUUUUCUGGUGCUCAGAAAAAUCUUAUCUAAACCAACAUCUUUUACAAUGGAGAAAACUGAAAUUCAUUUUCCUAUUCAGAUGUUACUUUCAUUUUUAUUGUUGAUGCAAAUUUCUGGUUCUGAUGAAAAUUAUUUACAUUUUUUUGGCAUUUAUCUAAAUUAUUUUAUUUGGAAGUUGUUUAAACUUUUAUUUUGAAAAAUUAUAAAAGUAAAAUAUACAAAGAACUCAAAUUUUUUCCUUUGUUGUGAGGAAGAUUGUCCCUGAGCUAACAUCUGUGCCAGUCUUCCUCUAUUUUAUGUGGGAUGCCGCCACAUUGUGGUUUGAUGAGUGGUGCUAGGUCCAUGCCUUGGAUCCGAAACUGUGAACCCAGAGCCAGCGAAGCAGAACACGCAAAGUUAACCACUACACCAAAGGCCAGCCCCUAGAACUCUUAAAAUUUAACAAUAAACAAACAACCUAGUUAAAAGGUGGGCAAAAGAUCUGAGCAGACACCUCAAUGAGGAAGAUAAACAGAUGGCAAAUAAGUGUGUGAAAAUAUGCUCAACAUCACACAUCAGCAACAUUAAGGAAUUGCAGUUAAAACAAUGAGGUACUACCUUUCAGAAUGGCGGAAAUCCAAAACUCAGACAACACCGAAUGCUGGUGAGGACGUGGAGCAACAGGAACUCUCAUUCGUUGCUGGUGGGAAUGCAAAAUGGUACAGCCACUUUGAAAGACAGUUUGGCAGCUUCUUACAAAACUAAACAUACUCCUAUAAUCAGAUUCAGCAGUUUCACUCUUUGGUGUUUAUACAAAUGAGUCAAAAACUAUGUCCACAUAAAAACCUGCACACAAAGUUUAUAGCAGCUUUCCUCAUAAUUUUCCAAAAUUAGGAACAAUCAAGAUGUCCUUCAGUAGGUGAAUGGAUAAACAAACUGUGGUACAUCCAGACACUGGAAUAUUGUCCAGCAAUAAAAGGAAAUGAACUCUCAAGCCAUGAACAGACAUGGAAGAAACUUAAAUGCACAUUGUGUGAAAGAUGCUACGUGAAAAUGAAAGAAGCCAGUCUGAAAAGGCCACAUACUGUAUGAAUCCAACUCUACAACAUUCUGGAAAAGACACAACUAUGGAGACAGUAAAACAAUUAGUGGUUACCAGGGACUCGGAGAGAGGGAGGGAGGAAGGAGUAGGUGGAGUGGAGGCAUUUUUAGAGCAGUGGAAUUAUUCUGUUUGAUACUGUAAUGGUGCGUGCAUGACAUAAUGAAUUUGUCAAAACCCACAGACUGUAAAACACAAAGAAUGAACCCUUAUGCAAACUGUGGACUUUAGUUAAUAAUAAUGUAUCAAUAUUGGUGCAUCAGUUAUAACAAAUGCCCGACACCAAUGCCUAAUGUUAAUAAUAGGAGAAGCUGCAGGCAGAAGAGAGGGGGUGUAGGACAACUCUGUAUGUUUUGCUCAAUCUUUCCUAUAAACCUAAAACUUCUGUAAAAAAGUCUAUUAAUUAAAAAAAUUUAAAUACGCAAAAAAGUACAGAGUAGAAAUGGAUUAUAUGAAUGAAGUUUCACAAAGCAAAUACUACAGAAUCAACAACUAUAGAAUAAGCGUACCAUAAAAGACGCCAUAGUCUGAACAACUAACUGAAGUAGAUGGUCAAGGGGCUGGCCUGGUGGCACCGUGGUUAAAUUCCCACGUCCUGCUUUGGCUGCCUGGGGUUCGCUGGUUCGGAUCCUGGGUGCAGACCUAUGCACCACUUGUCCAGCCAUGCUGUGGCAGGUGUCCCACAUAUAAAGUAGAGGAAGAUGGGCACAGAUGUUAGUUCAGGGUCAGUCUUCCUCAGCGGAAAAAGAAAAAAGAAGAGGAGGAUUGGUAGCAGAUGUUAGUUCAGGGCUAAUCUUCCUCAAAAAAAUAAAAUAAAGUAGAUGGUCAAAGCUAUUGGGCGUGGCACUGUGUUUGGUUUUUGCCUGAGAGCAAGAAUGGGAUAUCCUACCUGGGUGAGCUUCCAACUUAUUUUGGAAGACUGGGGAUUUCUAUUACUGUAUUUUAUCAAUUCUAAGAUACUUUUCAAAAUAUACAUCAGCAUCUCAAACAUUGGGUGUCUUAAAAUUAAUGGCAUUUUAUGAUUGGCAACCUUUAUCUUUCUUAAUGGUACAGAAAAUUGAUGUUAUCUUGAAAUUCAGUAAAAUAUAGUAGCUGCUUCUUUGUAGUCUCUUACGAGAGGACUUUCUCCCCCAACUUAGAAAGAACUGCUCAAGGCUCUAGGAGACCAGGGGCCUGGUUUUGGCUCUGUCAUUAACUAGGUGUCGAUUUGGGCCACGUCCAUUAAUUUUUCUAAUCCCUGCUUUCAUCUUCUGUAAAUUGCUAGAAGUUAAAACAUCUUUGAGGUUCUGGCUAGCUCAACAGUUGCAUCUAGGCCACCUGGCAGAAUAGGGCAGUGAAGGUGUCAGAGUAACACAAAUGAAAUUGAAUUGCUCUCUCUUUUCUCCUUGUGAAGCACCUGGGCUGUUUCCAGACAGAAAGUGCAGCUCAGUAACUGUAAGCAAGAAGUGUCCCAGCCCAGCUUAGGGAGGAAACAGCCGCAGAAGGGCAGGACUCUGAUCUGUGACCACACAUUUUGUAUAUUUGGCGCCACCUUAGACUUUCACAGGAAUAGAAAUGAAAGACUUUGUUUUCAAAAAUAAAAUGUUUCAGAUUUUCCUCUGAAUUAUACUUGGAAGUAAGGGGAAAUUAGCUAAAUCUUCAAGACAGCCUCCAACUCUCCAUCUGCCUGCUUACCCUGAACCUUCCCAACCCCUUCUGCCCUCCUGCCCCACCACCAGGCCACGGGUCCCCACACUCCUUCUCCAGGCCUCUCCGCAGGCUCCAGUCUCUGCACUCAGCCUACACGCUGCCAACUGCCCUCACCACCUAAAGCCACCUUGGAGAUAGAACUCCAUCCUUCUGAGAGUCCCCAGCAAGUCUGUGAAUAAUGCUGCAAAUGUCUAGCUAUGAUCACACACCAGGCAGCCUCCUUCAGGGCCAGUUAUGAAACCUUGGAUUUUAUGUUUUCUAUAGUUGUGAUUUGCGAGCAAAUUAACAAACCCAGAAAGGCUGCUAAUCUUCCCGACCUGCCCGUUUGAGCGUGCUGUUAAUAACAUAAUUAUUUUAUUUGUUAAUGAUAAUCAUGUCUUUUGUUAUGGUAAUGAACUAUUGUUCUUUCAAAUUAACACCACAAAGGCAUUAGUCUGGCCUCUAGUCUUGCCUAAAUCUAUUAAUUAAAUGACCAGAGAUAUCUAUGUAAAUCAACCACUUCACCCACCAGUGAAACCCAACAGCCGUCCACAGGACACAGGACUGUUGAUGAUUUCCUUGAGAAUCUGUCUCCUGGCAGUUCUGGCCAGAAACGAAGAUGAGUAAUGCAAUGAAUAGGCUUCAGAAGGGGAAAUUUAGGACAAUUUAAAUUAAAUCAUUUCUGUUUUGCUGAAUUGCCCAUGAAUGGUGUGAUAGAAAAAUUAACACAUGAUUUUAAGUACUAGGGACAUGAAAGCCUACCAUUUGCUUUUUGUUUUUUUAAAGAUUGGGACCUGAGCUAAUAUCUAUUGCCAAUCUUCUUCUUUUUUUUUUUCAAAUUCUUCUUCUCCCCAAAGCCCCCCAGUACAUAGUUGUAUAUUCCAGUUGUAGGUCCUUCUGGCUUGCUAUGUGAGAUGCUGCCUCAGCAUGGCUUGAUGAGCAGUGCCAUGUCCGCUCCCAGGAUCUGGACCGUGAAAUCCUGGGCCACCGAAGCAGAGAGUACGAAGUUAACCACUCAGCCACGUGUCGGCCCCACAGUUUGCUUUCUCAUCAGAACUUGAGGAUAGAUUUACAGAUUUUCCUUCUUUUUCAGCUUGUUACUGAUACUGACUUAACACAAGGUUGACAUAAGGGAAGCCAUAUUGUAGAAAAGAAACUAUAUUAUAACUUUGAAUAACCUCUGAUUAACUAGACCAGACAUGCUCUGUAUUUUAUGGCCCCUCCCAGCUGCUAUAGCCUCUCUCAGUUCUUUUGAGUUCUUUAGGAAUGUGAUGCCCCCAGGCAGAGAGUCUAAGCUGGUAGCCAUUAUCAGUGACACUGAAAGAUCAGGGUAUAGCGCAUUGCUCUGGUCUCUGAUGCAUAUCCAGUAAAACACAAGACUAUCAGGAACUAAGACCAAAUGUCUGCCACCACCUGGAGACCAGCCCCCUAUAUAACUGGCCUGUAGUCUUUGCUCUGUAAGAUGGUUCUUUUGGACAUGAGUCAGCCAUCUUCCCCAUUGCUAGCAAGCUGUAAUUAAAGGUCCUUUCUCUCCUACCACCUUGCCUCCUGACUAUUGGCACAUCUUGUGGCCAGCAGACAACCCCACCUUAGGCAGUGACAAAUUUGGUGACCCAGAUGGGACUUUAAGUCCUUCUCAUGGCCAGUUGACCUUGGAUGGGCAACCCGUCUGGUAAGUCCCUAGUGGCUGCUGAAUCUCUCUUUAUCUCGGUGAAUUACCCUUCCUGCUUUCCCAAACUGCCGACUGCCUCCUAGCACUGAUUGUGGUAGGGAGAGAAAUGGCUACAUCUGUUGAGUCAACAGACUCGAUCUGGAAUAGGAUAAGUUGCCUCAAGGAUGCUCAAGAACUCUCUUCCCCUCCAUCUGCAGUCCUUCCUCUUAUGGCAGUGCCAUCUGCAGUCCAAUAGGACCAAAUGGGUGUAUACUCAGAGUGAGAACAGUUUUGGGACUUUUUACCCUAAAUCUGGGAAGUAGUUCACUGGUGUCUGGUUUUUCUGUCCUUGUCUGUGUUGGUAAAUAGCUUAAAAUUGGCUAUUUGGGGACUGAGUUUCUCAGUGAUCAUAAUAAAUUCUCUUUAGAAAGUACCUUGUUUGUUAUGGCCACCUUGGGAAAUGCCCCGUAAAAUGGGGAUAACUGUAAACAGCUGUCAAGAUAACCUGGAAUAAUUUAAAAUUAUGUUUGCCACUUUGGGCUCCUUUUGAGCUUUCAAGUGAGAAACAAAUCUUUAGCUUCCACCUUCCACCCCUGGGAGCUCUCCUCUGAUUUCCAGGUCUGAUCACCCCAGUGACCCCAAGUGGGGUGCCCUCUAUUGGUGGUUCUGGUUUCUGGUUUCUGUUAAUCUGUUUGGGCACCUGGAAUGAUUCCAAGUUGGCCCCUGGGUCAGUCGUUUGACUGAUAGGGCUGUAGUUUCUGGUUUGGGAAUGUCCACGCUACACCCCUGGGAGCUCUCUUCUGGUUUGUGGCACCAGGAGUGAUUCCAGGUUGGUUCCCGGGUCACUUAUUUGACUGACAAUCUGGAACCCUGUUUUGACUCCUGUCAAGAACCUGCUGAGUAUUUUAGGUGCCUACUGAGUCAGCGAUGGGGAAAGGAGACCUGUGAUUUAUUCUGUAAACUGUCCUUUUGGGGUUGUGUGCCCUGGCAUGGGAACUGUUGUUUGUGUGACCCUUAUCUUGAUAACCUUUGAGAAGAGGCUGUGAAGGCAAGGCCUGAUCACCUCUUUCCCUUCGUUGUCUGUCUCAUUUGUCACCUCCUCUGUUGUCACCAAGUUAAGGUUAAGUUUGGGCUGGACUGGAGCAGAACCUGGACCUUCUGUGAAAUAGGAGACUUGAAAACCUUUUGCCAGGGACUUAACUCUCAAUACUGGCACUGGGAGCCCUGGCCCCUGGGCCACUACAAACCUUUGCUUCUUGCCUCCGUGGGUUGUCUUCUGCUGGCUCAGGGACUAAGUGCCUGGGGUGCAGGGGAUUUGACUAAAUCUUAUAGCUAUUUUGACUCCUGCAGUUGGUUCUGCACCCUUUUCCAGGCCUGCUGAUCAUUGGACACCAGCAUUACCACCAUAGGGAAUGCCCCAAGCAUCCCUGGAGACUCAUCACUUGGGUGCAUUUUAACUAAUUGGAAACACUUUCAAUUGGAUGGGUUGAGUCCCAGAAACUCCAUCUUGGAGAAAACUUGAGUGGUUUCUCUAUGCUUUAUGAUGUAAAUUUUCUGCUCCCAUCUUUUCUAGGACCUAAGAGCCAUUGUUUGGAAUGCAAAUGUUUCUCAUAAACUAGUGAGUUUUGCAUUGUGACUGAUUCAUAAAAAUUUAAUGGAAGUGAUAAGAUCUCUGUGUCUACCUGUAUGUGUCUAUAUGUAUUUCUUGUAAAUGUGAGGCAUUUUUCUACUUCUGGAGGAUACGGCCAAAAUUAAGAACUCUAUUGAAAUUUGCAUAAUUAAGUGCUUACAUAAAUUCUAAAUCUAAUAGAAAUUAACCCAAAUGUCUUUCAAGUUAACACGAUAUAAAUUAAUCUUUUGUAAAUGAAAGCCUGUCUAAGUUUGUUCGUUUGAUUGAAAUAAGCAUGUCCUAAUGGUUGUUAGUGUUGGGAUAAGAUGCAGACAUGGAGCCUGGAUUAACUAGUCAAAUAAGCUCAUGUUAUCCCUGUUACAAAUUCAUCAGUAAAAUAAUAGCUUUAAAUAAUAGCGAAUUUUGUCUGUUUCAUGAAGUUUUGUGGGUAAUCUGAACAUACUUUUGGAAACAAAUGAUUUAGAUAGAUGAAAAUGGAUAAGAGUUUUUGGGUAUAAUAAUUACACUUUAUGGUCUGUAUUCUUGAAAAAACAACCUCCAAUGUCUUUUGAUAACUUAAAACUUUAGAGUUUUGCUAAACUAAGUUAAAUGAUAAAAAUUUAUUGAGUAUCUAGGUCAUUUCCACAUAAGACAAAAUACUGAAACAUUAUUACCAAUCAUAUCUAAGUUUAUCUACUCUUGGCUUCUUAUUACAGAGAAACUAAAAAGUUUGGGGGGCUGGCCAUGUGGCCAAGUGAUUAAGCUUGCAUGCUCCACUUCAGCAGCCCAGGGUUUCACCGGUUCAGAUCCUGGGUGCAGACAUGGCAUUGCUCAUCAAGGCCAUGCUGAGAUGUCAGCCCACAUAGCACAACCAGGGGGACCUUCAACUAAAAUAUACAACUGUGUACUGGGGGGCUUUGAGGAGGAGGAGGAGGAGGAGGAGGAGGAGAAGAAGAAGAAGAAGAAGAAGAAGAAGAAGAAGAAGAAGAAGAAGAAGAAGAAGAAGAAGAAGAAGAAGGAGAAAAGAAGACUGGCAACAGAUGUUAGCUCAGGAGCCAAUCUUUAAAAAAGAAAAAGUGCUUGUGUCUAUUAGUAAACAUGCCUUGUGUUUUAUUAGUAUGAGGCAACAUGUUUCUAGAAAUUAUGAAAAGUGUUUAGAAUGCUGAUAUAAAAGAUAACUCAUAAUUGCUUACUUUUUAGUUUUUAUAGGUUCUGUAAGGGUUAAAAUUUUUAAUUAAUAUAUGUAAUUAAAGCUACUAAAAUUAAUAAGGAAAAUAUCUUUGUAUUCAAAGAAAGUAAGAAUAUAUGUUUUCAGUAAAGAAGGUACAUGGAAAGGAAAUAUUCUUGUUUGUUUUCUUAAAAAAAGAUAAAUUUGUUCUAAAGUACUAGGAAAGAAAAAGGAAAAAAACUCGGGACAAAUUCUGAAUGUAAAAGGUAAGUGAAAAGUUUGUGAAAGUAAAACCUUAAGGAGUUUUAUGCAUGGUCACGUUGGCUAAGAUUAAAUUAAAUCUAGUUAAGUAAAUGAGUUUUAAUGUCAAAAGUAAGCUGAUGCAAAAUUAGAAUUUGGUCUUCUUUCUCUUAAAGGGAUAAUUUUCUUGAACUUUUGGACUGCUCUUGAUAAACAGUCUAUAAAAGGUUUACCUUUUAUCUUCUACCUAAAAGACGGAAAAACCAUGUUUUGUUAAAAUAAUUUCCUAUGUUCAAAAAGAUCGAGGCCUCUCUAUUCAGUUUUUAAAACUAUUUGGCUUUCUCUGUUUGCCUUCAAGAUCUCUGGUUGUCACUAUGGUUCAAUGGAUAGGUGAGCAUUGUUUCAAGGGGACCUAUGUUAUUGUCUUGGUGAAUGUUAUUGAUAGAGGUGUUUCAAAAUUGUAUAACAUUACUAAAAUUCUGAUCUGUCCUGGUUAUCAGUCAUAAUCCUGCUUAUUAUUUUAAAGUGUUGUAUGUCACAAAAUUCCCAAAUUUCUUUGUCAGUUGCCAUUUUGAAGUCUUUUGUCAUUUACAGACAGUUAUCGUUUUACUCUGAUACUUUUGCAAAAUAUGUUUCAUCUUCAGAGAAAUUCAUGGAAAGGACUCUGACACUCUAGAAUACAGGUUUCUAAUAAACUUUCAGAUUUUAAAACUGAUCUGAGUAAGAGAUUAUAGAACUCUAAUGGAGAAACUGAUGACUUCAUGAAACUGUUAACAGAAAAUUAACAUCAAGAAGCAAUUACACAGGACUGAAUUAACUGAUGAGGAUGAUUAUAACUUUUAUGAUUUUUGUUUGAAGUAUUGCUGAUUUUUUUAAUGUUUUGCUUUUUUCAGAUUUAAGGAAAUCUUUUUCUCUUUUCUCUCAAGCUAAUUAUGACUUAUAAAAAUUUGGUAAAUUAUACCUUUGUAAGCAGAAUUGAAACAUUUAUUUUUUCUCCCUACCUGAUCCCUCCAGAAUUUGGAAACUCUUAGUGAGUAUUGUUAUUUUCAUGGCAAUAUAGUUAUUUGCAUAAGUUCAGUAAGAAUCUGUUCUCCUUAUAAUAGGACACAAUAAUUGGGAACAUUGGUUAUAAUACCGAGGUUUUGACUAGAAUGUUAUAUUUGAGAGAAACAUACAGACUCAGAUAUGACAAGACACCUUUUGAGGAAUAAAAGUUGACUUUCUGGAAUAAAGCCACUUGGAAAUAUUGGCCUGGUACCUUGCUUAUAGAGUUCCCAGCUACCUUACUGGGUGAGUAAAGAAAGCCACUCCUCUGGCAGGUGUAAGGAACCUCCAGGAUCUGUAGGUAUUGCAGAAGGAGUCUGACAAGUCCUUGGCUUGGCUUCUUUGGCCUCAAGAGGCCUUUAAAGUUCAAUCUGAGAUUCCUUAUAAAAGGUUCCAGAAAAGCAGAUUUAAAUGAGCCUAUAUGAUCAAUAGCUAUUCUUGCUGCAGUUAUGUAAAUAAUUGGAUCAAGUUUUAUUGAAACUAGACUUACUUUGCAAACCAAUUAGUCUUAAUUUGGCUAUCUUUUAUAAAAAAAUGAGGUUGAUUUUAGAGAGGAAAAUUGUGUUUCAGCAGAAGCUAUAGCACACAUUCAUGGAUAAGAGUCUAGUUCUGUUAACUGCCUUUGAAGUUUUUGCUAUAUCUGUUAACUUGACAGGAUCCUGAAUUCUUCUAGUCUCCUGAAAUAUCUGGCUACAAAUCUCCAAACUAACAUUUACAGUUUUUUCCAUGACUUUCCUUUGGAAUCACUGAGAACUGAACCUGCCCUUUUUCCUGAAGCCUUGCAAACUGAAGCUGGUGGACUUGAUACAAACCUAAGAGAGAUUCAUGUCUGGUGCUAUGAAUGUGAUGACCCCCAGGCAGAGAGUCCAUGCUGGUAGCCAUCAUUGGUGACAACUGAAAGAUCAUGGUAUAAGGCAUUGCUCUGGUCUCUGAUGCAUAUCCAGUAAAAGAAAAGACUAUCAGGAAAUAAGACAAGAUGUCUGCCCACACCCAGAGACCAGAUGGAGGCCUCACCUAGAGACCAACCCCCUAUAUAACUGGCCUGUAGUCUUUGUUCUGUAAGACUGUUCUUUCAGAUGUUAGUAGGCCAUCUUCCCUUUGCUAGCAAGCUGUAAUAAAUGGUCCUUUCUCUCCUACCCCCUUGCCUCUCAACUAUUGGCCUAUCUUGCAGUGGGAAGACGGCCCC